CAGCACGGGAGCAAUCCUGGUGGCGACCGGCAAACGGGUGCGGAACACGUACAGAACCUUCCUUUAAGCGGGGGAUAGCCCGAAGAAAUUCGGAUUAAUACCCCAUAGUAAUUUUGGCUGGCAUCAGUUGGAAUUUAAAGAUUUAUCACUUAAAGAUGGCUGUGCGUAUGAUUAGGUAGUUGGUUGAGGUAACGGCUCACCAAGCCUUCGAUCAUUAACUGGUGUGAGAGCACGACCAGUCACACGGGCACUGAGACACGGGCCCGACUCCUACGGGAGGCAGCAGUAAGGAAUAUUGGUCAAUGGACGCAAGUCUGAACCAGCCAUGCCGCGUGAAGGAUGAAGGCCCUCCGGGUUGUAAACUUCUUUUAUCUGGGAAGAAACCCUCGGAUUAUUCUGAGAUUGACGGUACCAGAGGAAUAAGCACCGGCUAACNCCGUGCCAGCAGCCGCGGUAAU
rnacentral:rRNA from 1 species